GAUGAACGCUCGCGGCAGGCCUAAUACAUGCAAGUCGGACGGGAUUCAGGAGCUUGCUUCUGCUGAGAGUGGCGCACGGGUGCGUAACACGUAUGUAACCUACCUUUAUCAGGGGGAUAGCCUCUCGAAAGAGAGAUUAAGCCCGCAUAAAAUCACAGCACAGCAUUGUGUAAUGAUCAAAUAUUUAUCGGAUCAAGAUGGGCAUGCGGAACAUUAGCUAGAUGGCGGGGUAACGGCCCACCAUGGCGACGAUGUUUAGGGGAGCUGAGAGGAUGGCCCCCCAGACUGGUACUGAGACACGGACCAGACUCCUACGGGAGGGAGCGGAAAGGAAUAUUGGGGAAUGGGGGGAAGCCUGAACCAGCCAUGCCGGGUGCAGGAAGACGGCCCUACGGGUUGUAAACUGCUUUUAAACGAGAAUAAACCCAGAUACGUGUAUCUGGCUGAAUGUACUGUAAGAAUAAGGAUCGGCUAACUCCGUG
rnacentral:rRNA from 1 species